GUCAGGAGUCUGUAGGUAGGUAGGUAUGCAAUGUGGCGCGGGGUCCGGGAUGGAGCACGUUGAGCUGGGGUGGAGUAGGGUAGCGUGUGUAUGUGUACGUGUAUGUGUGGAGUGGGAUGGCGAACACCGGCAAGGCAAAAAGGGGUAAUGGUAGGUGGGCAGGUGGAGGGUAUGGCAACAAAAAGCGGUGGUAUUGGAGGUAGCGGUAGUAAGAUCCAUGCGGGCGGGGGGGGGAGGAGGUGGUGCAGGAUUUCCGAUAUAUCUAUAUCUCUAUCUAUCUAUCUAUCUAUCUAUCUAUCUAUCUAUAUCUCUAUCUAUCUAUCUAUCUAUAUUGGACCGCCUCCUCCUCCUCUCAACCACCCACCCAACCUGCUGCUUCAUGAUCAUCCGGAAGAGUGUCGACUUGCCGGCUCCGUUUCCGCCAAUGAUUCCCACCACCGCACCUACGGACAAGUGUUGUGUUAUAUUAUACAGGAUACUCAUAUAAACACACAUGCAGCACUUCUUUUAGCUAUGUGGGUAGCAUUUCAUGUGUGCAUGAUGAAGCGGCGCGUGUGCAUCCUUGGCACAGGCGUGUCGGGUUGUCGGGACAUCUCCUAGGGGGCACCGCCCCCGGGGGUCUUGAAUGCAUCCAUCUGCACAACGUAAGGAAUUUUGCAUUCUCGCGUGUAGAGGCAGCAGCAACAGGCGCAGCAGCAGCAGCAGCAGGCGCAACAGGAAAAGGCGCAACAGCAACAGGCGCAACAGGAACAGCAACAGCAGUCACACGACAGGGGGACUGCGAGCACCGGCCCCCCCACCGCGUGUGUUCAUUCUCACCCGGCGGGAUGUUGAAGACGGCGUCGUCGAUCAACAACCGGUCAUCAAAGGACUUCCGAAGACCCUCCACCUUCACGUAAUCGAGCAAGCAGGACACAAGCACGCGAACAAGGCGUCGUACAAGUCGUUAACGGUUGCAGACACCUAUCGUUAAUGCCUUGCUGCAUCUCCUUACAUCGUUAAGAGCUCUCUUAGCACACAACAUAGUGGCAUUACCUCAUCGUGACUUCUAAACACGUAUCAUACAUAUACACAAAAGCUUGCGACACGGGCAGCCCUGCCGUACAAUACACGUGCUCAGUACAUGCAUGUAUGCCCGUACACGUACCUAUUUACGCACACACACACACACNNNNNNNNNNNNNNNNNNNNNNNNNNNNNNNNNNNNNNNNNNNNNNNNNNUGUUUGUGAUGCAUGCUUAUCCGUACAUCCGUACAUCCGUACUGACGUACCUCAAGUACCAAGUCGCCAAGUCGCGGGCCCUGUGGAAUGGUAAUGCUGUCGAGCUGCACGUGCAUAUAGUACGGCACAUUGAGCGAAGAGACAUGAAAAGAAAUGGAGGAUAAUGGAUUAGCAAGCAGGAAAUGGGGGCAGAGAGAGGGGACGAGAACAUCGAGCGCCACGAGAAAAGGGACACGAAGUAUUGGGGGGACUCAACAACAGGAGAGGUAUGGAGGAAGGUGCUACAAGUGGUGGGGGGUGGGUAUCGCUUGAAGAGGGGAACAAACGCAUCUUGGGGGCCCACCGCAGGAUGACUUCAGGUGUGGGCUCCGUCCUCCUUCGGAGAGUAACGCAAAUAUCAUAUUGUGUGUCUGUCUGUGUGUGUUUGUGUGUCUGUGUGUGUGUCUGUGUGUGUGUGUGUGUUUGUGUGUGUCUGUGUGUGUGUGUUUGUGUGUGUCUGUGUUUGUUUGUUUGUGUGUGUCUGUGUUUGUUUGUGUGUGUUUGUGUUUGUUUGUUUGUG
rnacentral:lncRNA from 1 species